rnacentral:rRNA from 1 species
GUAGUCCACGCCGUAAACGUUGGGAACUAGAUGUGGGGACCUUUCCACGGUCUCCGUGUCGCAGCUAACGCAUUAAGUUCCCCGCCUGGGGAGUACGGCCGCAAGGCUAAAACUCAAAGGAAUUGACGGGGGCCCGCACAAGCGGCGGAGCAUGCGGAUUAAUUCGAUGCAACGCGAAGAACCUUACCAAGGCUUGACAUAUACCGGAAACUUCCAGAAAUGGUUGCCCCGCAAGGUCGGUAUACAGGUGGUGCAUGGUUGUCGUCAGCUCGUGUCGUGAGAUGUUGGGUUAAGUCCCGCAACGAGCGCAACCCUCGUUCUAUGUUGCCAGCACGUCAUGGUGGGAACUCAUAGGAGACUGCCGGGGUCAACUCGGA